UCACAGUUUACACUGGCAGUCUUGCUAGAGUUCCCGACAUGACUCGCUGGCAACUAACAACAGGGGUUGCGCUCGUUAUAGGACUUAACCUGACACCUCACGGCACGAGCUGACGACAACCAUGCAGCACCUUGUAAUUCGUCUUGCGAAAGCCUAGUUUCCUAAGCGGUCAAACUACAUUUAAGCCCUGGUAAGGUUCCUCGCGUAUCAUCGAAUUAAACCACAUGCUCCACCGCUUGUGCGGGCCCCCGUCAAUUCCUUUGAGUUUCAGGCUUGCGCCCGUACUCCCCAGGUGGGAUACUUAUCACUUUCGCUUAGCCACUCAGAAUUACUUCCGAACACCUAGUGAACAUCGUUUAUAGCUAAGACUAC
rnacentral:misc_RNA from 1 species